CUUGGGAACUGCAUUUGAAACUGGUUGACUAGAGUUUUGUAGAGGGUGGUAGAAUUUCAGGUGUAGCGGUGAAAUGCGUAGAGAUCUGAAGGAAUACCAGUGGCGAAGGCGGCCACCUGGACAAAGACUGACACUGAGGCGCGAAGGCGUGGGGAGCAAACGGGAUUAGAUACCCCGGUAGUCCACGCAGUAAACGAUGUCUAUUAGAAGUUUGUGGCUAUAUGCCGUGGGUUUCAAAGCUAACGCAUUAAAUAGACCGCCUGGGGAGUACGGCCGCAAGGUUAAAACUCAAAUGAAUUGACGGGGGCCCGCACAAGCGGUGGAGCAUGUGGUUUAAUUCGAUGCAACGCGAAGAACCUUACCAUCCCUUGACAUCCAGAGAAUCACCUAGAGAUAGAUGAGUGCCUUCGGGAACUCUGAGACAGGUGCUGCAUGGCUGUCGUCAGCUCGUGUUGUGAAAUGUUGGGUUAAGUCCCGCAACGAGCGCAACCCUUAUCCUUAGUUGCCAGCACGUAAUGGUGGGAACUCUAGGGAGACUGCCGGUGAUAAACCGGAGGAAGGUGGGGACGACGUCAAGUCAUCAUGGCCCUUACGGGAUGGGCUACACACGUGCUACAAUGGCAAAUACAAAGGGUUGCUAACCUGCGAGGGUAUGCGAAUCUCAUAAAGUUUGUCGUAGUCCGGAUCGGAGUCUGCAACUCGACUCCGUGAAGUUGGAAUCGCUAGUAAUCGUGGAUCAGAAUGCCACGGUGAAUACGUUCCCGGGCCUUGUACACACCGCCCGUCACACCAUGGGAGUGGGCUGCACCAGAAGUCAUUAGCUUAACCUUCGGGAUGGCGAUGACCACGGUGUGGUUCAUGACUGGGGUGAA
rnacentral:rRNA from 1 species